CAAGAACCUACGCACUCCAUGUGUUUGACGAAACGCCUCAACAAACUCUUUUCAUGGAACACCAUGCUUUCUGCUAAUUCAAAAUCUGGGAAUUUAUCAAAAGCUAUGCAAGAGAUCUUUAGUAUCAUGCCAACCGAGAUUCCGUCUCUUGGAACUCGUUUAUUUCGGGGUAUCUGCGCAAUGGUUCAGUUAUGGAGGUAGUUAAAGCUUAUAGCUUGAUGUUGAAAGAUGGUGUUUAUAAUUUGAAUAGGAUUACAUUAUCGACAAUGCUUAUGUUGGUAUUGAGUCAAGGGUGUGUUGGUUUGGGUAGGCAGAUUCAUGGGCACGUAGUGAAAUUUGAAUUUGGGGUCUAUGUUUUUGCAGGGAGUCCUUUGGUGCAUAUGUAUGCCAAAAUGGGAUUAGUUUCCGAGGCAAAGCAGGUUUUUGACGAGUUUCAAGAGAGGAGCAUGUUAAUGUAUAAUACGAUGAUUACAGGGCUUUUGAGUUGUGGGGUGGUAGAGGAUUCAAAGAGGCUGCUUCAUGAUAUGAAGGAAAGAGUUUCCAUUUCGUGGACAAUGAUGAUCACAAGGCUUUCAAAAUGGAAUGGAGGCGAAGUUAUAGAUUUGUUCAGAGAUAUGGGGCUAGAAGGCAUUGCGAUGAAACAGUAUACAUUUGGCAAUGUGUUGACUGCAUGUGGGGGGCUUAUGGUUUGAAAGAGGGAACGCAAGUUCAUGCUUUUACACUUAGGAAUGAAUAUAACCACAAUGUCUUUGUUGGUACUGCUCUUGUUGACAUAUAUUGCGCAAGCAGGCAAGAGAAUGACAUAUAAGAAUGUUGUCUCAGGAAUUGCUAUGUUAGUGGGUUUUGGCCAGAAAGGGUUCAGCAAAGAAGCUGUUAGGGUUUUUGUGACAUGCAAAAGAAUGGGAUUGAACUAGAUCAUUUUACUCUAGGAAGUGUAAUUAACUCACGUGCAAAUCUAGCUAGCUUAGAAGAAGGUGCCCAGUUUUAUUGUCAAGUCCUAGUUUCUGGUUUGAUUUAUUUCAUAACCGUCUACAAUGCACUCAUUACUUUGUAUGGUAAACGUGGAAGUACAGAAGAUUCCAAUCAGCUGUUCAAUGAAAUGAAUUUCAGGGAUGAAGUCUCUUGGACUGCAUUGAUUUCAGGAUAUGCACAAUCUGGAAAAGCCCACGAAAACAGUGGAUUUAUUUGAAAGAAUGCUGGCGCAAGGUUUAAAACCUGAUGCUGUUACAUUAAUUGCAGUCCUUUCAGCUUGUUCUAGACCGGUGUUAGUACUUAGUGGAGAGAGGAAAACAGUGAAUCAAUGCUAAAAGACCAUGGAAUAAUUCCUUUUUAUGAUCACUACAGCUGCAUGAUUGACCUUUUUAGUCGAGCAGAAGGCUUGAAUAAGCCAAAAGUUUUAUCAGUAAGAUGCCUUUUACUCCCAAUGCAAGGCAAUGAGGAAAUUAGAAAAUUGGCAGCUGAGUCUCUUCUAGAACUAGAGCCCCAGAACCCUGCAGGCUACAUCUUGCUCUCCAGUAUCUAUGCCGCUAAAGGAAAAUGGAGUGAUGUAGCCAGACUAAGGAGAGGAACGAGAGAAAAGGGAGUGAGAAAGGGACCGGGAUUCAGAUGGAUCAAGUAUAAAAGCAAAGUUCAUAUUUUCUCAGCAGAUGACCAGUAAAGUCCUUUUUCUGAUAAAUGCUGAGCUGGAGAAAUUAAAUCAAAAAAUGAUGGAGGAAGGGUAUGUACCAGAUGCAAGUUCAGUUCUUCAUGAUGUUAAGGAUUUAAAGAAGAUAAAGAUGCUUAACCACCAUAGUGAGAAGCUUGCAAUUGCUUUUGGGUUGCUAUUUGUUCCUCGUGGCCUUCCCAUACGAGUAGUAAAAAAUCUGAGGGUCUGUGGGGAUUGCCGCAAUGCAACUAAAUAUAUUUCCAAGAUUACUCAGAGAGAGAUACUUGUAAGAGAUGCUGUCGGGUUCCAUUUAUUUAAAGAUGGAACAUGUUCAUGUGGAGAUUUCUGGUGAUAUACAUCUGUUACAGUUCAAAGCUGCGUGAACAAGAUUACAAAUCAAUAUGUACCAUAGAUAAACCAAGAUCAAGAGUUUUUGAGAAGCUACCAGAGAUAAACCAAAGAUCAUGAGUUUUUGAGAAUUGAGACGGUGAUCGUGCCUGCUUCGCAGGAGUAUCACUAGAGCUCUAGAGGAAUCCUUUUUUCUCCAUCAAGGAUUCUAGAAGAAUGUCUAUAUAAUCUUGAAAGAACCAAGAUCCCUGAUAGUAAAAAAUGUUGGUUGAAGAGAAGCCGGUUAGAGUAAAAAAAGAAAGAAGGCCUGCUGGAUGGGAACCUCAGUAUGGGAUUAGAGAAGAUAAAAAGAAUAACCUGCAACUUGCUACAUAUGUCAAUUACUUCAGCUAGAGGAGCCCAAUCACCAAAGUUCCUCUCAAUGAACUGAUAAGCUAUGCCACUCUUUUCCCUGCCAACUAUAAAGAGUCCACCCUUUAUUUCACCUUCUCCUUUGAAGUUUUGCUCACUUCCUGUAGCUUUUGCACGCUUGUAAUUUGCAAUAGCUCGGGGAUUGAAAAUAAAUCCUGAAAUAAAACUGUCCUUAAGUAGCUGCCCACCACCAAGAGCUUUGAAGAACUUCAUACUCCUAUCAAAGAGCACAACACCACCCCAAUAUCGAGGCCAGAAGUUUUUGACCUGCAGACCAACAGUAGCACAUCAACUGUUAGAGAGAGAGAGAGAGAGAUUAGAUCGUUAAGCUGAAAGUCCUUUAGAUACCUCUGGCUCAAUAUGUUCAUGGAGAACUGCAAAUAGUCGAAUUCCCAGUGCAUCAAAUAUGGGUUUUUUGGCAUAAAGCUGGUGAGCCUCAGCCCUGCACAUGAUGCACCUGUUUUGAAAUUCACAAGUAAAAGAUAUGUCAAUUUCAUGGCUUAAAGGGCAGCUGACCAUACUUAAAAAGUUUAUUUAUCCAUGUUAUUGGGGAGCAUUCGAGUCUACAUAUUUUGCUAUAGCUCAUUAACGGGCUUUUGAUUUCUUAA